CGGCGAAUACUUCAUAUCUGCGUUUACGUGAGAGGAAAAAUGAAUAUCGCGAAGGAAGAAUUACUCUUCACUUCGUUCAGAAGUAGAGACAGGAAGUGAGCGCUAAAGCCAUCAAGCACGAUCGCUAGGUGGGUGUCUCGGAUAGCGCACGCGCCUCUUUCGGCCAGCUGAUUCCCUAGACCUACUUUUCGUCCCGAUGAUGCAGACUGACAUCAUAUAUACACAAUCGUGUCACUCUCGAGCUCAUGGUAGACGGAAACCGUCUUUUCCCCUCACUUUUUUUUCCAAAACAAAACUGAUGCGUAACAUUACAAAUAGUUCAGUCCUACAAAAAUCAAUUGUAACGAAUUCGGUUGAACACACUAGCGCACACUGGUGCACAUUAAAGUCGCCAUAUCCUGUACAGUAUAAACCUCCAAAGAUCCGAGACAUCCGAAGGAUGUGCAUACAUCUUAAGGAUGUUGUUUAAACGUCCUUUGAAUAAAAUGUGCUAUAUUAAAUAUAACUUGAUUUAUGUAUUUAAUACAAAUAUAUGAAUGAGUUAUUAAAUAACGAAAUCCUAAAUAUACUUUAUUGUUUGAUAAAACAUGUACUAGGUAUUUUAUCAUUCGAGAUAUUUAUAUUUAAUUUUUACACUCUCAAACCGUAUAAAAAGUAUUUAAUAUGUAUACGCGCUAGUGUGUCUAAUCGAAUUAUCCAAUAAUUAUCCGAGAUUUAAUUGAUUCUCCACUUCUUUUUUACAUUUAUUUCUUGAAAUCGCCAAAAAGUCAAUUAAAUUUUGGUUAAUUCUGACUCGAUGUUUGUGGGAACAGCUGUACGAUUCGUUUACAAGUCUUUCUGAAUCCAUGUACUUUCUGUGAAGAUUUUAUCUGUUUAUCUUGUCUUUCUGUAUAUAACUGGCAGUCAUCUGCGUUACGCGAUCAUGAUGUCACACAUUACUAAUAGCGGUAACAGAAAACUGUCUGCGUUUCACUGGAACUUAACUCUGUGUAGUUUACAACUUCAAACUGCAGCUGCAAUUGCAAUUUGGUAAUUCAAAUUGAAUCUCCAGAAAUAUCGGCGCUUUCUAUCUAUCCUUUAUAUAUCAUUCUUUUAGAAUAGAUUUAAACAAGAUUUAUAGAAAGAAAGCGAUCAAGAUUUCUUGACUUUUGCAUUUUAUGAUAAUAUAUACGUUUUGAUAUUAUUAUACAUCUAACUUUGGAGAAAUUUCUCUUUGACAAACUGUACGAGUUUUGUCCUCAUAAUUUUUUUUUCUCUUGGUCAUCAGGAUGACUGUCGUUUUGCAUAGAAUCUAGUCCAAGUGGUAGCCAUCAGGUACAAAUUAUUGUCGCGAUGCUAACACGUGCAUGCGUAUCACUAUAAGUAAUAAGCUACAUGUUCGUGUGCGUGCACACGCAUGACGAGAAAUUCCGUGCCCUAAAUCUCGAUCGUUGCUCGAGACCGUCCUUAGAUAUCCACGCGCUACUUCACUGAAUGUCUACUUGGCACACGCAAAUAACAAAGGUUACAGGCCAUUGACAAAUGCAGAAUAUCGGUAAACGGGAUAUGUAUAUACGCACGAAGAUAUUGUUGGACACGCGUACAAGAUAGGAUAUUAUUAGACUUUGCUGCUAAGUUGUCACAUUUUAUAGAAAUUUUUUUGUAUUCGCAAUAGCGAAAUACCGAUCAAACUGCGAUAUUUAUCAACAUAAAUCUGUAUGAGAUCUAUAAAUUAAAUAUACAUCAUUUAAUUGUA